rnacentral:tRNA from 1 species
AAGGCUAUAGCUUAAUUAAAGUAUCUGUUUUGCAUAUAGAUGAUGUGGGUUAAUACCCUGCUAGUUUUA